rnacentral:rRNA from 1 species
AACGAGCGCUGGCGGCAUGCCUAACACAUGCAAGUCGAACGAGACCUUCGGGUCUAGUGGCGCACGGGUGCGUAACGCGUGGGAACCUGCCCUUAGGUUCGGAAUAACUCCCCGAAAGGGGUGCUAAUACCGGAUAAUGUCUUCGGACCAAAGAUUUAUCGCCUUUGGAUGGGCCCGCGUUGGAUUAGCUAGUUGGUAGGGUAAAAGCCUACCAAGGCGACGAUCCAUAGCUGGUCUGAGAGGAUGAUCAGCCACACUGGGACUGAGACACGGCCCAGACUCCUACGGGAGGCAGCAGUGGGGAAUAUUGGACAAUGGGCGAAAGCCUGAUCCAGCAAUGCCGCGUGUGUGAUGAAGGCCUUAGGGUUGUAAAGCUCUUUUACCCGGGAUGAUAAUGACAGUACCGGGAGAAUAAGCUCCGGCUAACUCCGUG